rnacentral:pre_miRNA from 14 species
UAGCUGGAGUCUCAGGAUGGCGCGCCCCAGGAAACACCGAUCUCGGACGAGCCCCCAAAUGAUAGAUCCCCAAAGAGAGACCCUUACUCAAGUCUUGGGAAAUCGUGGACCCCAGACACAGAGAGACCA